CGCAGGUUGAUAUGAUGUCAGGCAUCUCAUGAAUGCCGAGCGAUUUGCUGGCCUCAGGUGUCCAGUCGGUGUCAGAUGUCCCAUCCUGUCGGUGUCAGGUGUCCCAUCUUGUCGGCAUCAGGUGUUACGUCGGCGUCGGACGUUUCGGUGUCCGACGAUCGGGUGCCGGAUGAUUUGGUGUCAGGCGAUCGGGUGCCGGACGAUUUGGUGUCAGGCGAUCGGGCGUCCGGCGCCUUUUGGGG
rnacentral:lncRNA from 1 species